rnacentral:rRNA from 1 species
UGGGGAAUAUUGCUCAAUGGGCGCAAGCCUGAUGCAGCCAUGCCGCGUGUGUGAAGAAGGCCUUCGGGUUGUAAAGCACUUUCAGCGGGGAGGAAGGCGAUAAGGUUAAUAACCUCAUCGAUUGACGUUACCCGCAGAAGAAGCACCGGCUAACUCCGUGCCAGCAGCCGCGGAAAUACGGAGGGUGCAAGCGUGAAUCGGAAUUACUGGGCGUAAAGCGCACGCAGGCGGUCUGUCAAGUCGGAUGUGAAAUCCCCGGGCUCAACCUGGGAACUGCAUUCGAAACUGGCAGGCUAGAGUCUUGUAGAGGGGGGUAGAAUUCCAGGUGUAGCGGUGAAAUGCGUAGAGAUCUGGAGGAAUACCGGUGGCGAAGGCGGCCCCCUGGACAAAGACUGACGCUCAGGUGCGAAAGCGUGGGGAGCAAACAGG